rnacentral:rRNA from 1 species
AGCAAGGUUAACCGAAUAGGGGAGCCGAAGGGAAACCGAGUCUUAACUGGGCGUUAAGUUGCAGGGUAUAGACCCGAAACCCGGUGAUCUAGCCAUGGGCAGGUUGAAGGUUGGGUAACACUAACUGGAGGACCGAACCGACUAAUGUUGAAAAAUUAGCGGAUGACUUGUGGCUGGGGGUGAAAGGCCAAUCAAACCGGGAGAUAGCUGGUUCUCCCCGAAAGCUAUUUAGGUAGCGCCUCGUGAAUUCAUCUCCGGGGGUAGAGCACUGUUUCGGCAAGGGGGUCAUCCCGACUUACCAACCCGAUGCAAACUGCGAAUACCGGAGAAUGUUAUCACGGGAGACACACGGCGGGUGCUAACGUCCGUCGUGAAGAGGGAAACAACCCAGACCGCCAGCUAAGGUCCCAAAGUCAUGGUUAAGUGGGAAACGAUGUGGGAAGGCCCAGACAGCCAGGAUGUUGGCUUAGAAGCAGCCAUCAUUUAAAGAAAGCGUAAUAGCUCACUGGUCGAGUCGGCCUGCGCGGAAGAUGUAACGGGGCUAAACCAUGCAC